rnacentral:rRNA from 1 species
CAGCCGCCGCGGGUAACACCGGCGGCCCGAGUGGUGAUCGUGAUUAUUGGGUCUAAAGGGUCCGUAGCCGGUUUGGUCAGUCCUCCGGGAAAUCUGAUAGCUCAACUAUUAGGCUUUCGGGGGAUACUGCCAGACUUGGAACCGGGAGAGGUAGGAGGUACUACAGGGGUAGGAGUGAAAUCUUGUAAUCCCUGUGGGACCACCUGUGGCGAAGGCGUCUUACCAGAACGGGUUCGACGGUGAGGGACGAAAGCUGGGGGCACGAACCGGAUUAGAUACCCGGGUAGUCCCAGCCGUAAACGAUGCUCGCUAGGUGUCAGGCAUGGCGCGACCGUGUCUGGUGCCGCAGGGAAGCCGUGAAGCGAGCCACCUGGGAAGUACGGCCGCAAGGCUGAAACUUAAAGGAAUUGGCGGGGGAGCACAACAACGGGUGGAGCCCUGCGGUUUAAUUGGACUCAACGCCGGACAACUCACCGGGGGCGACAGCAAUAUGUAGGCCAAGCUGAAGACUUUGCCUGAAUCGCUGAGAAGUGGUGCAUGG